GGUAGGAAGAGGAAGAAAGAGAGGGCCUAAGAGCAGUGGGAAUGAGAACUUGGAGGAAAUCCUAACUUAUUUCUUUUCACCUCCUGUGUUGGAGGUGGAAAUUUGGUUUGGUGUUUCCCGGUGCCUCUCAUUCCUAUCAUUAUUAAGCACUCCUUCCUCUUCCUUCUGGCU
rnacentral:pre_miRNA from 1 species